rnacentral:lncRNA from 1 species
AGCUAGCUUAAAGUUCUUUUCAGAGACAUAUGAAUUGUUUUAAGGAGAUUUUGGAAGACUUAGCAAUUUUUGUUCAAAGUUAGGGUUUGUAUCAGUGAUUUGGAUUUUAUAUAAUAUAAUUAGGACUAGCAAUUUUGGCUAGUUCGUGUAAUUGGUGUAAUAUCUAUAGUUGAAAACUUGAUACUGUUUGGAUUAUUGGAUGUGCUAAGUUUAUAUUGAAUUUUGUGAUAAUCUAAUGAUGUGGUUUAGAGAUAUCUAGUUUUUAGCCCAAGAAGGUUUCAGAAGGUGGCAGUUUGAGGUUGGGUAGGAUUUCUAUGAUAUUUGAAGAUCUAUCAGUUGGAUUAAGGUGAAAAUUGGCAUAGUAUUGAAGGACUUGAAGAUCAAGCUACACACCAAUUUUGAAACAAAGUUAAUAGUUGAAAAGAGAGGAAUCAUUGCUGGGAUUUCUGCUUCACUUUUCAAGUUGGUGGCCAAGUGACAUCAAUGCAAUUUUUGGAGGUUUUUUCACAAUCUAUAAGUUGGAUUGGGCUAAAAAUUCUUG